rnacentral:rRNA from 1 species
UAAUACGGAGGGUGCGAGCGUUGCUCGGAAUUACUGGGCGUAAAGCGUGCGCAGGCGGCAUGUCAAGUCAGACGUGAAAGACCGGGGCUCAACCUCGGGAGGUCGUUUGAAACUGGCAAGCUCGAGUACGGGAGAGGGGUGUGGAAUUCCCAGUGUAGGAGUGAAAUCCGUAGAUAUUGGGAGGAACACCAGUGGCGAAGGCGACACCCUGGCCCGAGACUGACGCUCAGGCACGAAAGCGUGGGGAGCAAACAGGAUUAGAUACCCUGGUAGUCCACGCUGUAAACGAUGAGUGCUGGGUGUUGUGGGUUACGACCUGCAGCGCCGAAGUUAACACGUUAAGCACUCCGCCUGGGGAGUACGGCCGCAAGGUUA